CUACGGGUGGCUGCAGUAGGGAAUCUUCGGCAAUGGACGGAAGUCUGACCGAGCAACGCCGCGUGAGUGAAGAAGGUUUUCGGAUCGUAAAGCUCUGUUGUAAGAGAAGAACGAGUGUGAGAGUGGAAAGUUCACACUGUGACGGUAUCUUACCAGAAAGGGACGGCUAACUACGUGCCAGCAGCCGCGGUAAUACGUAGGUCCCGAGCGUUGUCCGGAUUUAUUGGGCGUAAAGCGAGCGCAGGCGGUUAGAUAAGUCUGAAGUUAAAGGCUGUGGCUUAACCAUAGUACGCUUUGGAAACUGUUUAACUUGAGUGCAGAAGGGGAGAGUGGAAUUCCAUGUGUAGCGGUGAAAUGCGUAGAUAUAUGGAGGAACACCGGUGGCGAAAGCGGCUCUCUGGUCUGUAACUGACGCUGAGGCUCGAAAGCGUGGGGAGCAAACAGGAUUAGAUACCCCGGUAGUC
rnacentral:rRNA from 1 species